GGGCUUGUGGUACAGUGGUAGCACGUUCGCUUCGCAUCUCACUGCGAUACACCUGCGAAAGGUCCUGGGUUCAAUUCCCAGCAAGUCCA